rnacentral:misc_RNA from 1 species
AAGUCGUAACAAGGUUUCCGUAGGUGAACCUGCGGAAGGAUCAUUAUUGAAUUUGAAAAGAGUUGUAGCUGGCCUUCCGAGGCAUGUGCACGCUCUAAUCAAUCCACUUACACCUGUGCACCUUUGAGGUUGUUGUCUCCCUCUUCACGGAGGAGCAGCGGGUAACACUGCUGAGACUUCGCCUUUCUUACACAAACCCUUAAAGUUAAUGAAUGUCUACUUGCUUAACGCAAUUAAAUACAACUUUCAACAACGGAUCUCUUGGCUCUC